rnacentral:rRNA from 1 species
GAGUUUGAUCCUGGCUCAGGAUGAACGCUGGCGGCGUGCUUAACACAUGCAAGUCGAACGGAGUUUACAUGUGAGCGUGAAGUGCUUGCACCAAACAAUCUUUUGUAAACUUAGUGGCGGACGGGUGAGUAACGCGUGGGUAACCUGCCGUAUGCAGGGGGACAACAGUUAGAAAUGACUGCUAAUACCGCAUAAGCGCACAGUGCUGCAUGGCACAGUGUGAAAAGAUUUAUCGGCAUACGAUGGACCCGCGUCUGAUUAGCUAGUUGGUGAGGUAACGGCCCACCAAGGCGACGAUCAGUAGCCGGCCUGAGAGGGUGAACGGCCACAUUGGGACUGAGACACGGCCCAAACUCCUACGGGAGGCAGCAGUGGGGAAUAUUGGACAAUGGGGGCAACCCUGAUCCAGCGACGCCGCGUGAGUGAAGAAGUAUUUCGGUAUGUAAAGCUCUAUCAGCAGGGAAGAAAAUGACGGUACCUGACUAAGAAGCCCCGGCUAACUACGUGCCAGCAGCCGCGGUAAUACGUAGGGGGCAAGCGUUAUCCGGAUUUACUGGGUGUAAAGGGAGCGUAGACGGUUUUGCAAGUCUGAAGUGAAAGCCCGGGGCUCAACCCCGGGACUGCUUUGGAAACUGUAGGACUAGAGUGCAGGAGAGGUAAGUGGAAUUCCUAGUGUAGCGGUGAAAUGCGUAGA